CCUACGGGUGGCAGCAGUGAGGAAUAUUGGUCAAUGGACGAGAGUCUGAACCAGCCAAGUAGCGUGAAGGAUGACUGCCCUAUGGGUUGUAAACUUCUUUUAUAUGGGAAUAAAAUGUUCCACGUGUGGGAUUUUGUAUGUACCAUAUGAAUAAGGAUCGGCUAACUCCGUGCCAGCAGCCGCGGUAAUACGGAGGAUCCGAGCGUUAUCCGGAUUUAUUGGGUUUAAAGGGAGCGUAGGUGGAUUGUUAAGUCAGUUGUGAAAGUUUGCGGCUCAACCGUAAAAUUGCAGUUGAAACUGGCGGGCUGGAGUUGGAGAGAAGUACGCGGAAUGCGCGGUGUAGCGGUGAAAUGCUUAGAUAUCGCGCAGAACCCCGAUUGCGAAGGCAGCGUACCGGCUCCACACUGACGCUGAGGCACGAAAGCGUGGGUAUCGAACAGGAUUAGAUACCCCUGUAGUC
rnacentral:rRNA from 1 species